rnacentral:rRNA from 1 species
UACAGAGGUCUCAAGCGUUGUUCGGAUUCAUUGGGCGUAAAGGGUGCGUAGGCGGCGCGGUAAGUCGGGUGUGAAAUCUCGGAGCUUAACUCCGAAACUGCAUUCGAUACUGCCGUGCUUGAGGACUGGAGAGGAGACUGGAAUUUACGGUGUAGCGGUGAAAUGCGUAAAUAUCGUAAGGAAGACCAGUGGCGAAGGCGGGUCUCUGGACAGUUCCUGACGCUGAGGCACGAAGGCCAGGGGAGCAAACGGG